rnacentral:rRNA from 1 species
UGGUGGAGUGAUUUGUCUGGUUAAUUCUGAUAACGAACGAGACUCUAGCCUGCUAAAUAGACGGGCGAUCCCUUCGUGGGUCGACCCGAUUUGCUUCUUAGAGGGACAAGUGGCGUUCCUAGCCACGCGAAAUUGAGCAAUAACA